UCGAACGAUGAACCACUUCGGUGGGGAUUAGUGGCGAACGGGUGAGUAACACGUGGGCAAUCUGCCCUGCACUCUGGGACAAGCCCUGGAAACGGGGUCUAAUACCGGAUACUGACCCUCACGGGCAUCUGUGAGGUUCGAAAGCUCCGGCGGUGCAGGAUGAGCCCGCGGCCUAUCAGCUUGUUGGUGAGGUAAUGGCUCACCAAGGCGACGACGGGUAGCCGGCCUGAGAGGGCGACCGGCCACACUGGGACUGAGACACGGCCCAGACUCCUACGGGAGGCAGCAGUGGGGAAUAUUGCACAAUGGGCGAAAGCCUGAUGCAGCGACGCCGCGUGAGGGAUGACGGCCUUCGGGUUGUAAACCUCUUUCAGCAGGGAAGAAGCGAAAGUGACGGUACCUGCAGAAGAAGCGCCGGCUAACUACGUGCCAGCAGCCGCGGUAAUACGUAGGGCGCGAGCGUUGUCCGGAAUUAUUGGGCGUAAAGAGCUCGUAGGCGGCUUGUCACGUCGGUUGUGAAAGCCCGGGGCUUAACCCCGGGUCUGCAGUCGAUACGGGCAGGCUAGAGUUCGGUAGGGGAGAUCGGAAUUCCUGGUGUAGCGGUGAAAUGCGCAGAUAUCAGGAGGAACACCGGUGGCGAAGGCGGAUCUCUGGGCCGAUACUGACGCUGAGGA
rnacentral:rRNA from 1 species